rnacentral:lncRNA from 1 species
GAGAGAGUGUGAGAUAGGCCCUUCAUAUACCUGAGAGAGAUUUUACAGGAACUACGUUAAUUCCAAAUACAUUAAAUGUUCACAAGUCCAUAAAGUUCAUUAUGUACACAGUCAGUUCCAUGGUUCAUUAUUGUCGGUCUCUUGCCAUCAUCACCCAUUGUCUCCAUCGACCUUGCUGAUGGGGCGAGUUGUCCUCCUGUCAAUCAGCAUACAUUGUUGUUGGUUUCAAACUUCAUUUCUUACUCUGUCUCCCUUCUGUAGUUCACAUAGUUGUCCGUUCACCUUGUCGUCGCCAUUACUGUCACACACUCUCAAGUCCCUGUCAGCCAUCCUGAUGGGACAAGCUGCUUUUCCGUUGUUAAAACUUACAUUGUGGAUUGCUAUUCACAGAC